rnacentral:rRNA from 1 species
GACGUAGGGCGCGAGCGUUGUCCGGAUUUAUUGGGCGUAAAGAGCUCGUAGGCGGCUUGUCGCGUCGUCCGUGAAAACUUGGGGCUCAACCCCAAGCUUGCGGUCGAUACGGGCAGGCUCGAGUCCGGAAGAGGAGAGUGGAAUUCCUGGUGUAGCGGUGAAAUGCGCAGAUAUCAGGAAGAACACCAAUGGCGAAGGCAGCUCUCUGGGACGGUACUGACGCUGAGACGCGAAAGCGUGGGGAGCGAACAGG